UACGUAGGGGGCAAGCGUUGUCCGGAUUCAUUGGGCGUAAAGGGUGCGUAGGUGGCGUGGUAAGUCGGAUGUGAAAUCCCGGGGCUCAACCCCGGAACUGCAUUCGAUACUGCCAUGCUAGAGUACUGGAGAGGAGAUUGGAAUUUACGGUGUAGCAGUGAAAUGCGUAGAUAUCGUAAGGAAGACCAGUGGCGAAGGCGGAUCUCUGGACAGUUACUGACACUGAGGCACGAAGGCCAGGGGAGCAAACGGG
rnacentral:rRNA from 1 species